ensembl:lncRNA
AUAAACUGUACAACUAUAAAGCCACAAUUGAGUUCAGUAAAGAUGGGAUGAGCAACAGAAAAGGAUUGUGACUGUCCUCGGUACAACAGGUGUGUUUACAAUCAAACCUAGAGUACCUAUGACCUGCACACAAUGUGCUGCUUUGUAGAAUUCAGGAAGCCACGAGUGGCAUUUCCUGAAAGAAGAUGAAACGCAAUGAAAAUAUAUACAUUUUUUUACAUACCCCUUUGAAGACAAUGAUCUCAGAAAAUACAUUACUUUGCAACAGCCAACAGACUUCACAACUUUACAGUCUACAAACGCUUUGCCGUCCACAAGCGCUUUACAAUGCACACAGAUAUUCAGAUGUUUUUAUUUUUUUUAUAGAAAUAAUUUGAUUAUCAAAACGUAUAAUAAUCUACUUUGUAGAUAAGAAAGUGCAACACUGCAGUGUCAGAAAAAUGUUCAGGUGGGCAUCCAGUAGAGACCACUAGAGACCAGUAGAAACCACUAGAGACCAGUAGAAACCACUAGAGACCAGUAGAGACCACUAGAGACCAGUAGAAACCACUAGAGACCAGUAGAAACCACUAGAGACCAGUAGAAACCACUAGAGACCACUAGAGACCAGUAGAAACCACUAGAGACCAGUAGAAACCACUAGAAACCACUAGAAACCACUAGAGACCACUAGAAACCACUAGAAACCACUAGAAACCACUAGAGACCACUAGAGACCAGUAGAAACCACUAGAGACCAGUAGAAACCCGUAGAGACCCGUAGAGACCACUAGAGACCAGUAGAAUCACAAUGGUGGAAUCAAACAGGGACUCUUCCCUUCGAUGGAACCCAGGCUUAGCGAAAUUAACAUGAACCUGUUGUAUACUGUUAUAUUAACGUUAGCAUCUGCAAAUACACUGAACACCGGAGACAAAAAACAGACAACCAGUCUUUUUCCCUUUUACAAAAUAUCCUUCAUUUUUAACAGCAAAUAUUACACAAACAUCCACAGAGAUAGAACCACAUCUGUCCGCUGGUAGGGAGACUUCUCCCUGCUCUACCAGGAAAGGUUGUCAUUAAAAUGGCUGCCGGUCAGCAGUACAGGAGGAGGGGGAAGAUAUUAGUGUUUAACUACGACGAGUUUCAAAAUGGCUGCCGGUCAGCAGUAGAGGAGGAGGGGGGAUGGAUAUUAGUGUUUAACUACGACGAGUUUCAAAAUGGCUGCCGGUCAGCAGUACAGGUGGAGGGCGAAGAUAUUAGUGUUUAACUACGACGAGUUUCAAAAUGGCUGCCGGUCAGCAGUGCAGGAAGAGGGGGAUGGAUAUUAGUGUUUAACUACGAC